CAGAAGCUCUCCACAACCAGGGGAUAAGAGAGGCCUGGGGGAAAGCAGCCCAUCCUUGGGGCCUCAGGGAGCAGAUCUGGGGGCACCUCCACCAUGGCCUGGACCCCUCUCCUCCUCACCCUCCUGGCUCACUGCACAGGUUCUGUGGCCUCCUAUGAGGUGACCCAGCCACGCUCAGUGUCAGUGGCCCUGGGACAGACAGCCAGGCUCACCUGUGGGGGAGACAAUAUUGGAAAUAAAGCUGUUCACUGGUACCAGCAUAUGCCAGGCCAGUCCCCUGUGCUGCUCAUCUAUACUGAUAAAAACCGGCCCUCGGGGAUCCCUAACCGAUUCUCUGGCUCCAACUCAGGAAACAUGGCCACCCUGACCAUCAGCGGGGUCCAGGCCGGGGACGAGGCUGACUAUUACUGUCAGGUGUGGGAUAGUGCCAGUAGUGCUGCCCACAGUGACACAGGCAGAUGGGGAAGACAGCAGAGAGAACUGAGUGAGAUGGUGGCUGUGAGUGGGCUCCAUCUGGUUCAGAGCUUGGUCCAGACCAGAGAUGGUUCCAGUGUGAAGAGUGACUGCAUGGGAUGUCAGUGA